rnacentral:lncRNA from 1 species
CGUGGAUGCAUUGUUAGUCCAGAUCUCUCAGUGUUGAACUUGGUCAUCGUGAAAAAGGGAGAACAUGACCUUCCUGGACUUACUGACACUGAGAAGCCCAGGAUGAGAGGUCCGAAGAGAGCCUCAAAGAUCAGGAAGUUGUUUAACCUUUCCAAAGAAGAUGAUGUUCGGAAGUAUGUCAACACAUACCGUCGGACCUUUACAACCAAAACUGGUGAGUCAUUUGUGCAUUCUUUUUAUAUAUAUGCAAAUGUGG